AACAUGGCCAUCUUCUCCGUUCAAGAACUGUUCAUGGACACUUCCAAAAUCCUCCACCAGGGGGACAGAUGCACGAAUUUAAACUAUUGAAAGGGUGUGUGUUAGUGGUGAAGCACCUCCCUCAGUGGGGGAGUCAGCGUACACGCAGCCCAAGAGUGCAGACAUGAAGUGUGCCUUGGUGUGUGUGCUGAUGGCUGCCUGGAGCCUCGGAAGUGGUGGGCAGAGGUUGCACCAGCAUACAGAGAAUGUGUACGCCAUGAACAGCGGCUCAGUGACGCUGGACUGCAGCUACUUCAGCUCUGGAGGCAACGACUACAUCUUCUGGUACAAACAGGACGGGCAGGCGGCACCAAAGUCCAUCCAGAGCUGCUUGAAGAUCCGUCAGGGCGAGACUGAGAGCAGCUUUGAAACGAGGUUCAGCUGCAGCAUCAAUGACACCGCCAAGCGAGCUCCUCUGAAGAUCCAAGACGUGCAGCUGAGCGACUCUGCAGUCUUCUACUGCGCCCAGCGGCCCACAGUGACUUACAGCACUGCUGCACCCGCACAAAAACCCCUGUUGGCCCCUUUAGGUCAAAGGUCACACUGGUGGCAUCGCCUCACAGAUAUCCGUUUUUCACUGGUUCAGAGUAAAUUUUCACAGUUUUUGUUGUUGUCAAGACAUGACGGGGGUGGCGAACAGCAUAUGUUUUUUUGCUUCUUACAAGAUUCCAAAAGCUUGCUGCGCUGAUUGUACAAACCCCGUUUCCAUAUGAGUUGGGAAAUUGUGUUAGAUAUAAAUAUAAACAAAAUACAAUGAUUUUCAAAUCAUUUUCAACCCAUAUUCAGUUGAACAUGCUACAAAGACAACAUAUUUGAUGUUCAAACUGAUACACAUUUUUUUUGUGCAAAUAAUCAAUAACUUUAGAAUUUGAUGCCAGCAACACGUGACAAAGAAGUUGGGAAAGGUGACAAUAAAUACUGAUAAAGUUGAGGAAUGCUCAUCAAACACUUAUUUGAGACACCCCUGUGUGCAGGCUAAUUGGAAACAUGUGGGUGCCAUGAUUGGGUAUAAAAACAGCUUCCAUGAAAUGCUAAGUAAUUCACAAACAAGGAUGGGGUGAGGGUCACCAAUUUGUAAGCAAAUUGUCGAACAGUUUUGGAACAACAUUUCUCAACGAGCUAUUGCAAAGAAUUUAGGGAUUUUACCAUCUAUGGUCCCUAAAAUCAUCAAAAGGUUCAGAGAAUCUGGAGAAAUUACUGCACGUAAGCGAUGAUAUUACAGACCUUUGAUCCCUCAGGCGAUACUGCAUCAAAAAUCGACAUCAGUGUGUAAAGGAUAUCACCACAUGGGCUCAGGGACACUUCAUAAAACCACUGUCAGUAACUACAGUUUGUCGCUACAUCUGUAAGUGCAAGUUAAAACUAUACUAUGCAAAGCGAAAGCCAUUUAUCAACAACACCAAGGAACGCCGCCGGCUUCGCUGGGCCCGAGAUCAUCUAAGAUGGACUGAUGCAAAGUGGAAAAGUGUUCUGCGGUCUGACGAUUCCACAUUUCAAAUUAUAUUUGGAAACAGAGGACGUGGUGUCCUCCGGAACAAAGAGGAAAAGAACUAUCCGGAUUGUUAUAGGCGCAAAUUUCAAAACCCAGCAUCUGUGAUGGUAUGGGGGUGUAUUAGUGACCAAGGCAUGGGUAACUUACACAUCUGUGAAGGCACCAUUAUUGCUGAAUGGUCCAUACAGGUUUUGGAGCAACAUAUCUUGUCAUCCAAGCAACGUUAUCAUGGAUGCACCUGCUUAUUUCAGCAAAACAAUGCCAAGCCACGUGUUACAACAGCGUGGCUUCGCAGUAAAAGAGUGUGGGGUUUUUCCUGGCCCGCUUGCAGUCCAGACCUGUCUCCCAUCGAAAAUGUGUGGCGCAUUAUGAAGCGUAAAAUACGACAACAAGACCCCGGACUGCUGAACAACUUAAGCUGUACAUCAAGCAAGAAUGGUAAAGAAUUCCACUUUCAAAGCUUCAACAAUUAGUUUUCUCAGUUCCCAAACAUUUAUUGAAUGUUGUUAAAAGAAGUGGUGAACAUGCCCUUUUCCAACUAUUUUGGCACGUGUUGCAGCUAUGAAAUUCUAAGUCAAUUAUUAUUUGCAGUUUGAACAUCAAAUAUCUUGUCUUUGUAGUGCAUUUCAACUGAAUAUGGGUUGAAAAGGAUUUUCAAAUAACUGUGUUCCGUUUAUAUUUACAUCUAAGACAAUUUCCCAACUCAUAUGGAAACGGGGUUUGUAAAUAUGAUAUUUCACUUGACAUUUUUCAUUACAAUAUUAAUGCAGCGAGAACACUGCUGGUGAGUCACGGUAUUGGGGCGGGGGGUAUGGCAGUUUAAAAAAAGUGGUAUUGGCACUAAAACAAGUUUUGGAACUGCAACAUAAAACAAAAAAAUACACAUAAACUUUCCGUUUUUCGGAUCCACUUUUCUUUUCAACGGUUUCAACUUACUGGCAGAAAAUUCACGUAAAGGGUAGGGGUUCUGUAGGUCGGGACGGCAUGGCGCGGUUGGGAGAGUGGCCGUGCCAGCAACCUGAGGGGUUCCUGGUACAAUCCUUACCUUCCAGGUUCGAUCCCCGCUUCCACCAUCCUAGUCACUGCCGUUGUGCCCUUGGGCAAGACACUUUACCCACCUGCUCCCAGUCCCACCCACACUGGUUCAAAUCUAACUUAGAUAUUGGGCUUCACUAUGUAAAAGCGCUUUGAGUCACUGGAGAAAAGCGCUAUAUAAAUAUAAUUCACUUCACUUCACUUCUACCAACCUCGUCACGUCCGUUGUGUCCUUGAGCAAGACACUUCACCUUCGCUCCUGAUGGGUCGGGGUUUAGGGCCUUGCAUGGCAGCUCCCGCAAUCAGUGUGUGAUUGUGUGUGUGAAAGAGUGAAUGUGGAAAUUAGUGAUGGGUUGAUGAGGCGUCAUGAAGCGUUUCGACACAUUACAAAACUGUAUUGAUACUGUGUCCACACUGUGUCACUAAAUACUGACAUCUACUGGACAUUAAAAAUCCCUACAGGCAACCUAUGGACCGACUCAACUAAUACUGAUUUUAUGACCUAGUAUAUACAAUAAUAUAAAUCAAGUCAUUGUAUUUCAUUUAGAAUUAUUUCAUAUCUUCAUUUAAAUAAAAAUAUAUGUUUAUUGUUUUUACAAA